CCUACGCGGGGCAGCAGUGAGGAAUAUUGGUCAAUGGGCGCGAGCCUGAACCAGCCAAGUCGCGUGAGGGAUGACGGUCCUACGGAUUGUAAACCUCUUUUGCCGGGGAGCAAGCGUGCGUUCGUGAACGCGCGUCGAGAGUACCCGGAGAAAAAGCAUCGGCUAACUCCGUGCCAGCAGCCGCGGUAAUACGGAGGAUGCGAGCGUUAUCCGGAUUUAUUGGGUUUAAAGGGUGCGUAGGCGGGAUGCCAAGUCAGCGGUAAAAGUGCGGUGCUCAACGCCGUCGAGCCGUUGAAACUGGCGUUCUGGAGUGGGCGAGAAGUAUGCGGAAUGCGUGGUGUAGCGGUGAAAUGCAUAGAUAUCACGCAGAACUCCGAUUGCGAAGGCAGCAUACCGGCGCCCUACUGACGCUGAGGCACGAAAGCGUGGGUAUCGAACAGGAUUAGAUACCCCGGUAGUC
rnacentral:rRNA from 1 species